AACGAACGCUGGCGGCAUGCCUAACACAUGCAAGUCGAACGAGACCUUCGUGACUAGUGGCGCACGGGUGCGUCACGCGUGGGAACCUUCACUUAUGUUCCGAAUACCACCCCGUCGGGGGUGCUAAUGCAGGAUAAUUUCUUCUGACCACACAUUGAUCGACCUUGGAUGGGCACGCGUUGGAUUAGCUUGUUGGGAGGGGAAAAGCCUAUCACGGCGACGAUCGUUAGCUGGGCUGAGGGGAUGAGCAGCCACACUGGGACGAGGACACGGCCGAGACUCUUACGGGAGGCAGCAGAGGGGAAUACAGGAAUACGGGCGAAAGGCUGAUCGAGCAAUGCCUCGUGAGUGAUGAAGUCGUGAGGGUAGUAAAGCUCUUUUACCCGGGAUGAUAAUGACAGUACCGGGAGAAUAAGCACCGGCUAACUUCGUG
rnacentral:rRNA from 1 species